GACACGAUUGCAACAUGUGUGAUGCUUCAGAAAGCGUGGGUCUUGAGCUCCUGGCAGAGGAUGUAAAGCAGGAAGCUCAAACAGAGGCUGUCUCUGAGAUAGAACAGCUCAGCAAGGAGGAUAAAGGAGGGAGACCAGCGUCUGCAGAUCCCAGAGAACAAGAACCACACUCCAGGCAAGACAGUGGACACUUACACCAUGAUGAGGGUCAAAGGGCUGGUGAGAAAGUCAAGGAAGAGCUGGAGAAACGAGUAGAAGAACAAGAAGCCAGUCAAGACAAACACUAGGAAGAAGUGGACCAAGAAAGUCAAGAGGUGGGCCAGGAAGGUGAACAGACAGCCCAGGAGGGACCUGGCCCUGGGGAGUGGAGAGUCGAGUCUCAGGGAGUCUGAAGAUGGAGAAGGGAAGGGAAAGCACUCGGAUCCUGGAGUAGACCCACUAGAAGACGUGUUGGUUUAUACUGGUUUACACGGACACUCCCACGACAUUGUUUGAAGAGAAAAAGGUCUGGUCAAAGCUCACCCACUAAACCUGGAGUGGGUGUUUGGAAUCGACCAGAAUCUCCCUGUGUUCAGUCUGCAAGAUGAAGGCAGGGUUGUGAUCCUGUAUGGAAGUUCUCACACCAUGGUGAUGUAUGACUAUACCAACAACACCCAGCACAUUCUCCAGUGCCCACGAAGCUGCAGCGUGCCUCGGAGGACAAGACCUGGUCCCGUUCUAUAGUCUAUUGGAAGAGGGGAGAGAUGGAGAGCUGUUUAGGGUAGGGGACAAAUGUUGCUGGCCUUACAAUCAGGAACAGUCAGCAAAGUACGCAUAAAACGGUUACAUUUCAGGUUCAUUUCAUGUUGACCGCUUUUCAUUUUACAUUUUUUCUUAUGUCCUCUACGAUAUAAGCUUGUGCAGACUUGACUGCGUACCUUAAAACAUUACUGGACUGCUUUGUUUGGAAUAAAAAUGUACUUGCUCAAAGUCCUGUUUCAGCAUUUGAUGUAUCCUUGUGUUUUUUUUUCCUAUAGUAGCUGGAAGACUAUUUUUAUUAUUGCCAGUUGCGAACUCAAGGUAUUGACACCAUGGAGACCAGGCAGGUGUCAAUAAAAAUCCCCCUGACUGAGACUCCCUUUGUGAUGCGGGCACUGGGGUUCUACCCAACCGAGCAGGAGGCAAGUCUGUAUAACGAGAUUCAAAUAGCAUCACUGUAACAAAGCACUUCAAAAUGGGCAGGAACCAGGUACUUUAGAAGUGAUUGUAGGUACAGUUGUAUGUUUAAAGUAAAAGCAUUAUCUAAACGCAUUUCCAUUUUACAGACUAUAAGGAAUGAAACCUGUGUUUAAAGAGUUUGUCUUUUCAGUCCGCAUUUUGAAGAUAUGCUCAGUGAAGUCAAAUUCAGUAAAUGUGUGGACUCCGGAAAGUAUGUGAUAGAUACCGAUUUAGCGAAAUUGUUAAAUCUGUAUAUAAACCACCAACCAGCUUUCGGCAUUUCAACAUACAAGCUGCAGCAUGCAUUUGAGGUUUUGGACUUGGAAAACGAGAAUUGCGAGAAUGCACUGAACCAAGGGGAACUACUGCAGCUGCUGCAGAGCACAGGUUCAGAAUAUUUGCUGGAGAACGCUAUUCCAGAGGAAAUAACAGCAGAGAUGUUUACUGUUGAUAUUCUGGGUUUGCCUACAAUUAUUCUUGGGCCUGAACCUUCUGAAGAACAGCUGACAGCUCAGGAGUCAGAAUUAUCUUAGCUGUCAAGAUCAUGUCACUGUCUCCUGUAAUAAACACACACGGGCAAAUCCUGAGAGGGGAUGUGGAGCCCCGGUUUAAUUGCACUGUGUUAUAAUCCCUGUGGCGUAGCCCUACACUGCUUGAAUACUCCAUGCUAUAUUUUAUACUACAACAAUAAAAACGACUUUAAUCCCUGCUCAGAUCUUUCAGAAGUUUAAUUUUUCUUUAAAUGUGUUCUGGUUUCAGUAGAAUGCAAAUUGUUACCAUAGGUAGGGUGGUCCAAGAUCAGUGCCCAUCAGCUUGUGAAACCAGCCAUGUACUAAUAGUGCAUGUUGUGUGCAUGCUUUUGUUGUUGCCGUGUUGGGCAUGACCAAGUCUCCUGAAGCUUUCUUGUAGCACUGCUAAUUAUUGGCCCGGUGGUGAACUCUGUUAUACAUUUGAAGAAUGAUCUCAACCUCACAUUUAUGAAAAUAUAUCUCAGGUAUAGCCUUGUUUACUAAUACAGUAAUAUGUGUUUUAUUGACCGGGAAAGAUGUCUGCUGUAAAGUACUGGCUAUUUUCUUUAUGAAUAAUGUUGUUUAAU